UAUUUGGUAUCCUUGUUUUUCGUGAUAGGAUUGUUAAAGCUUGUUUUUUAUACCAAGCUACAUACUUUUUAAAUAAUAAUUUAAAAUAAAGUAUUAUGCAACAGUUCAGCAGUAAAUUACGAUUGAAUAACAUCUGGUGAUUACUAUCUAUGGCUCACAAAGUUCGCAAGUCAAAUUUAUCUGUUAAAUGGUAAUACGAAGAAUUUGGUGUAUUGUGACUCAAAAAAUGAAAUAAGAAUUGACUAUACUUAUUAAUCGUCGAUUAGUGAAUCUGCAUUAUGACAUUUUUAAAUGUAAUAAAUAUUGAAUUGUCUAGAACAGUUAUAGAAAGAAUAAAGGUAAAUCACGCGGAAUCGGAAACACGGGAAGGAUAAAAUCCGUUCGUCACAAAGAAGUGGCAAAUUGAAUUCCGUAAUCCCAAAUCACUCAACCUCUACUGCAAUUUCCGAGAAAAAUGUCAUAUAUCCUUAAGGAUAGAGAAUAUACUGGCUUUUUAACAAAAUAAAGAACUAAACUUAUCUAGUUUUUACGAUUAAGAAGUAUAAAAGAAAUACCUAGAGUUGAAACGUCUAAGUGUAGUAAAAACCACGUUUAACAGUAACGUUUUUCAUCACAUUUUCUCAUUCUUGGAUUAUAAUUUCUGAGGAAGAUAAAACCAAAUGUUAUAAUUCUGAAAGAGGUCUCAGCAAAAAGUUUUCAUUGGAUUUCUUGGAGCAGAUUGUGUUGCGAAGUCAUUCGGGUGACCUCCUCAUUUGUAUUCACGACCAGCUUGCGGCCAGCAAAUCGAAAACGGACACUUCGAAAUGAACGAAAACAAUAAUAAUAAAUUUAUCAAAUCUUGUUACUCUUCUCAAUAUUAUAUUAGCUCUAUCGCUAUCUUUUAUCAUAAAUAUUAAACAACGAAUAGAUCUUCUGAA